AUUGAACGCUAGCGGGAUGCCUUACACAUGCAAGUCGAACGGAGUGGCGAACGGGUGAGUAAUGUAUCGGAACGUGCCCAGUAGCGGGGGAUAACUACGCGAAAGCGUAGCUAAUACCGCAUACUAUUGGCGCGGCCGAUAGCGGAUUAGCUAGUUGGAGGGGUAGCGGCUAACCAAGGCGACGGUCCAUAUCUGGUUUGAGAGGACGACCAGCCACACUGGGACUGAGACACGGCCCAGACUCCUACGGGAGGCAGCAGUGGGGAAUUUUGGACAAUGGGGGAAAGCCUGAUCCAGCCAUCCCGCGUGUGUGAAGAAGGCCUUCGGGUUGUAAAGCACUUUUGGCAGGGAAGCGGUACCUGCAGAAUAAGCACCGGCUAACUACGUGCCAGCAGCCGCGGUAAUUC
rnacentral:rRNA from 1 species